AGCAAAGGAGUGGCAGUAUCGUAGCCAAUGAGGUUAAUCCGAGGCACGAUUAUUGCUAAUUGCAAAGGAUCUGGCUGAUAUUUUGACUUCUUCCUGGCAUUGCCAUCUUGUGUUUUAAACUAUGAAGAUUAUUUUGCUAGCUCUGUUUUCUUGUUGUUGAACACUAAGAUAUUUGUUAAAAAUCCAUCUUU
rnacentral:snRNA from 14 species